UGGAAAAAGAACAAAAAUGGAGUCUGUUAUGCUAAAAGUGUGAAGCAGGAGUUCUGGAGUUUGUUUACAGUUAAUCUGAAACAUAGGGUUGCUGCUGCAAGAAUAUUAGAGGCCUAUCUAGUGAAAAGAGUAACUAAUAUGGUGUACCAACUUCGUUUGGAUGCGGUGAAGGUGUACUUUAACAAAAGGAAAGAGGAAUGUGAUGACAUACGAGCACUCACCAUUGAACUAACAGAAGAACAAUACUUGGCUUCUCGGGUGGAGUGGUGUAAUAAGGCAACUUGGGCAUGGUUCUCUAAAUAUUGGGUUAGUGAUGAGUUCAAGAGAAAGAGACUGGAAGCCCAAGAGUCAUGCAUGAAUUCUGAAGAUACUGCUCAAAAUAGAGGAGGUUCACGGAAUUUUUCUGAGACACAACAACUCCUGGUACAAGAAAUCCUUAUCUCUCGUAAGCCAUUGAGCUCUGCAAAGUUUCUCAUGCACAAUUUCUGGUAUCUGAUCUUGUAGGAACACAAUUUCGGUCCUGAGAAGGGUGGCACUCUAAACACAUAUGCUGUGAUGAAAUCUGGAUACAAAACUGUAGACAUCACUGGUAGGAGUGGUCCAAUACCCAGCCAGAAAGCGCAAAGACACUUGGAUGACUACAAAGAACUAGCUGCAGACGAGAACUCUCAAGAUUUGGAUGGAAAGGCACUAUACACCAUGGGAGGUGGCAUGAAGCAUGGGCGUGUUCCAAUUGGUGAUGGUGCUGUGG